GCGCCCGUAGCUCAGCUGGAUAGUGUGCCGGACUACGAAUCCGUAGGUCGCAAGUUCGAAUCUUGCCGGGCGUACCA
rnacentral:tRNA from 1 species